rnacentral:rRNA from 1 species
UACGUAGGGUGCAAGCGUUGUCCGGAAUUAUUGGGCGUAAAGAGCUCGUAGGCGGUUUGUCGCGUCUGCUGUGAAAACUCGGGGCUUAACUCCGGGCCUGCAGUGGGUACGGGCAGACUAGAGUGCGGUAGGGGAGACUGGAAUUCUUGGUGUAGCGGUGAAAUGCGUAGAUAUCAAGAGGAACACCUGCGGCGAAGGCGGGUUGCUGGGCUAACACUGACGCUGAAGCGCGAAAGCCAGGGGAGCGAACGGG